ACCUUAUCCAGAGAAGGUGGAGGGACUGGCCCGAUGAUACCCGGCAACCGACAUGACGCGAUUCAGCCGCAUAACGCGACUGCAAUAUGCGACAUGCACGGUGCUAAUUCCUGCAGAAACAAAAGUGGUCUGGAAGAUAAGGG
rnacentral:ncRNA from 2 species